rnacentral:rRNA from 1 species
GACGAACGCUGGCGGCGUGCCUAAUACAUGCAAGUAGAACGCUGAAGGAGGAGCUUGCUCUUCUGGAUGAGUUGCGAACGGGUGAGUAACGCGUAGGUAACCUGCCUGGUAGCGGGGGAUAACUAUUGGAAACGAUAGCUAAUACCGCAUAACAGUAGAUGUUGCAUGACAUUUACUUAAAAGGUGCAAUUGCCUCACUACCAGAUGGACCUGCGUUGUAUUAGCUAGUUGGUGGGGUAACGGCUCACCAAGGCGACGAUACAUAGCCGGCCUGAGAGGGGGAUCGGCCACACUGGGACUGAGACACGGCCCAGACUCCUACGGGAGGCAGCAGUAGGGAAUCUUCGGCAAUGGACGGAAGUCUGACCGAGCAACGCCGCGUGAGGGAAGAAGGGUUUCGGAUCGUAAAGCUCUGUUGUAAGAGAAGAACGAGUGUGAGAGUGGAAAGUUCACACUGUGACGGUAUCUUACCAGAAAGGGACGGCUAACUACGUG